rnacentral:rRNA from 1 species
GGUCCCGCCUGCCCUGUGACCCCUGGUUCAACGGCCGCGGUAUUUUGACCGUGCAAAGGUAGCGCAAUCACUUGUCCCUUAAAUGAGGACCUGUAUGAAUGGCAUAACGAGGGCUUAACUGUCUCCUUUCCCCAGUCAAUGAAAUUGAUCUUCCCGUGCAGAAGCGGGAAUACCAACAUAAGACGAGAAGACCCUAUGGAGCUUUAGACGCUAGAACAGACCAUGUCAGCUACUCCCUAAAGCAAGUAGCAACUAUUGAAUCUCUGUUCCCCUGUCUUUGGUUGGGGCGACCGCGGGGAAGAAAAAAACCCCCAUGUGGACCAGGAGCACAUUACUCCCAAAGUCACGAGCCACAGCUCUAAUACGCAGAAUUUCUGACCAAUAAGAUCCGGCAAAGCCGAUCAACGGACCUAGUUACCCUAGGGAUAACAGCGCAAUCCCCUUUAAGAGUCCAUAUCGACAAGGGGGUUUACGACCUCGAUGUUGGAUCAAGACAUCCUAAUGGUGCAGCCGCUAUUAAGGGUUCGUUUGUUCAACGAUUAAAGUCUU